GAUGAACGCUGGCGGCGUGCCUAAUACAUGCAAGUCGAGCGAACGGACGAGGAGCUUGCUCCUCUGACGUUAGCGGCGGACGGGUGAGUAACACGUGGAUAACCUACCUAUAAGACUGGGAUAACUUCGGGAAACCGGAGCUAAUACCGGAUCAUAUUUUGAACCGCAUGGUUCAAUAGUGAAAGACGGUUUUGCUGUCACUUAUAGAUGGAUCCGCGCCGCAUUAGCUAGUUGGUAAGGUAACGGCUUACCAAGGCAACGAUGCGUAGCCGACCUGAGAGGGUGAUCGGCCACACUGGAACUGAGACACGGUCCAGACUCCUACGGGAGGCAGCAGUAGGGAAUCUUCGGCAAUGGGCGAAAGCCUGACGGAGCAACGCCGCGUGAGUGAUGAAGGUCUUCGGAUCGUAAAGCUCUGUUAUUGGGGAAGAACAGAUGUGUAAGUAAAUGUGCACGUCUUGACGGUACCUAAUCAGAAAGCAACGGCUAACUACGUG
rnacentral:rRNA from 1 species